rnacentral:snRNA from 10 species
GGAUGUGAGGGCAAUCUGGCUGCAACAUUUGUCACCCCAUUAAUCUCCAGCGUUCAUUCGACUGAUCUGGCUGGCUAGAUGGGUGUCCCCUUCCUCCCUCACUGCUCCAUGUGCAUCCCUCCUGAAGCUGCAUGCUUGGUCGAAGAGGACGACCAUCCUCGAUAGAGGAGGACUGGUCUUUGGUCAAGGGUAUAUGGGUAGCUGUGCUCCCCUGCUAGAACCUCCAAACAAGCUAUCAAGAACUACCUGAGACUGGGUAAUUUAUAAAGAAAAGAAGUUUAGUUGCCUCAUGGUUCUGCAGGC